rnacentral:ncRNA from 1 species
UUCCGAGAGAGAGCGGACCGCGAUAACGCGGCCCCGCCGCCGAAGGUGCAAGGGUGCGAUCCGGCCAGGCGACACCCGAAACUCUCAGGCACAAGGAUCGG